rnacentral:rRNA from 1 species
CAAUAGCGUAUAUUAAAGUUGUUGCAGUUAGAACGCUCGUAGUCGGAUUUCGGGGCGGGCCGACCGGUCUGCCGAUGGGUACGCACUGGUCGGCGCGUCCUUCCUUCCGGAGACCGUCCCUACUCUUAACUGAGCGGGGGCGGGAGACGGAACGUUUACUUUGAAAAAAUCAGAGUGUUUCAAGCAGGCAGCUCGCUCUUGCAUGGAUUAGCAUGGGAUAAUGAAAUAGGACUUUGGUGCUAUUUUGUUGGUUUCGAACACCGAAGUAAUGAUGAGAAGGGACAGUCAGGGGCACUCGUAUUCCGCCGAGAGAGGUGAAAUUCUCAGACCAGCGGAAGACGAACCACUGCGAAAGCAUUUGCCAGGGAUGUUUUCACUGA